rnacentral:rRNA from 1 species
AGUGAACGCUGGCGGCGUGCCUAAUACAUGCAAGUCGAACGAAGUGGCGCACGGGUGAGUAAUAUAUAGUUAAUCUGCCCUACACUACGGAACAACAGUUGGAAACGACUGCUAAUACUUCAUAGUGUAGGAUGAGACUCUAUCGUAUCAGCUAGUUGGUAAUGUAAUCGCUUACCAAGGCUAUGACGCGUAACUGGGCUGAGAAGAUGAUCAGUCACAUUGUAACGGAGACACGGUCCAAACUCCUACGGGAGGCAGCGGUAAGGGAUAGUGCGCAAGGGGGGAGACCCUGAAGGAGCAACGCCGCGUGAAGGAUGACAAUUAGGGGAGCGUAAACUCCUUUUAUCAGGAAAGCGGUACCUGAUGAAUAAGCACCGGCUAACUCCGUGCCAGCAGCCGCGGUAAUUC